ACAGCAGCCGCGGUAAUACGUAGGUGGCGAGCGUUGUCCGGAAUUACUGGGUGUAAAGGGCGUGUAGGCGGGAUUGUAAGUCAGAUGUGAAAUUCCGAGGCUCAACUUCGGAGCUGCAUCUGAAACUGUGAUUCUUGAGUGCUGGAGAGGAUAGUGGAAUUCCUAGUGUAGCGGUGAAAUGCGUAGAUAUUAGGAGGAACACCAGUGGCGAAGGCGGCUAUCUGGACAGUAACUGACGCUGAGGCGCGAAAGCGUGGGGAGCAAACAGGAUUAGAUACCCUGGUAGUCCACGCUGUAAACGAUGAAUACUAGGUGUAGGAGGUAUCGACCCCUUCUGUGCCGCAGUUAACACAAUAAGUAUUCCACCUGGGGAGUACGGCCGCAAGGUUGAAACUUAAAGGAAUUGGCGGGGGA
rnacentral:rRNA from 1 species